AGAGUUUGAUUAUGGCUCAGAACGAACGCUGGCGGCAUGCCUAACACAUGCAAGUCGAACGCGUGACUUCGGUCACGAGUGGCGCACGGGUGAGUAGCGCGUGGGAACCUGCCCUUUGGUUCGGAAUAACCUCGGGAAACUGUGGCUAAUACCGAAUGUACCCUACGGGGGAAAGAUUUAUCGCCAAGGGAGGGGCCCGCGUCCGAUUAGGUAGUUGGUGAGGUAACGGCUCACCAAGCCUGUGAUCGGUAGCUGGUCUGAGAGGAUGAUCAGCCACACUGGGACUGAGAUACGGCCCAGACUCCUACGGGAGGCAGCAGUGGGGAAUAUUGGACAAUGGGGGCAACCCUGAUCCAGCAAUGCCGCGUGAGUGAUGAAGGCCUUCGGGUUGUAAAGCUCUUUCGCCCACGACGAUGGUGACGGUAGNGGGAGAAGAAGCCCCGGCUAACUUCGUGCCAGCAGCCGCGGUAAUACGAAGGGGGCUAGCGUUGUUCGGAGUUACUGGGCGUAAAGGGCGCGUAGGCGGCUGUCCAAGUCNNGUGUGAAAGCCCAGGGCUCAACCCUNNNUGUGCACUCGAGACUGGCCGGCUAGAGGAUGGGAGAGGAUGGUGGAAUUCCCAGUGUAGAGGUGAAAUUCGUAGAUAUUGGNNAGAACACCGGUGGCGANNNCGGCCAUCUGGACCAUUUCUGACGCUGAGGCGCGAAAGCGUGGGGAGCAAACAGGAUUAGAUACCCUGGUAGUC
rnacentral:rRNA from 1 species